rnacentral:tRNA from 1 species
CCUCCUUUCUAAGGAUGAAUGAAAGUAAAAUUUCAUUCUAAAUAAUAUACAUCGGUAAUGUUGACCGUCCUCAUUUCUCUUCUUAAAGUAAUGUUUCCUUCUUGUAGGGCCGGUAGCUCAGUUGGUUAGAGCACACCCUUGAUAAGGGUGGGGUCGAAAGUUCGAGUCUUUCUCGGCCCACCAUACUUAACUGGGGGAUUAGCUCAGCUGGGAGAGCGCCUGAUUUGCAUUCAGGAGGUCAGCGGUUCGAUCCCUGUAUCCUCCACCAGGAAACAUUUAGUUAUUAAAACUGUAAUAAAAUAAUUAUAUCAUAUCUAUAUCCAACAUUAAAGUUUUAUUUA